CCUACGGGGGGCUGCAGUGGGGAAUAUUGGACAAUGGGCGAAAGCCUGAUCCAGCCAUGCCGCGUGUGUGAAGAAGGCCUUCGGGUUGUAAAGCACUUUCAGUGGGGAAGAAAGCCUUGGGGCUAAUACCCUCGAGGAAGGACAUCACCCACAGAAGAAGCACCGGCUAACUCCGUGCCAGCAGCCGCGGUAAUACGGAGGGUGCGAGCGUUAAUCGGAAUUACUGGGCGUAAAGCGCGCGUAGGCGGUCUGAUAAGCCGGGUGUGAAAGCCCCGGGCUCAACCUGGGAACGGCAUCCGGAACUGUCAGGCUAGAGUGCAGGAGAGGAAGGUAGAAUUCCCGGUGUAGCGGUGAAAUGCGUAGAGAUCGGGAGGAAUACCAGUGGCGAAGGCGGCCUUCUGGACUGACACUGACGCUGAGGUGCGAAAGCGUGGGUAGCAAACAGGAUUAGAUACCCCAGUAGUC
rnacentral:rRNA from 1 species